CGGUGUGGGCGCGGCGUGUGCGGCAGGCUGGGCUGCACCGCAGCGCAUACACUACAAUGGCUGCUGGAAAGACGGGAAAGCAAACAAUUUCCAGGCCCGCCGCGUCCAGCCCGAAAUAUGGGGAAAAAAUUACAGAAAAAUCGGAGAACACUGUAAAGGGUGGAAACGGGGCGCAGAGGGGAUGCUGAGGCUCCCGCGGAUCAUCCUGAGGGGAUGCUCCACACAUUUUGACAGCCUGAGGUAACUGGGUAAAAACCCGGCAAGAAAAGGUCAAUAACCUCACCCGUGCCAUAGUGUCUGUCUGGGCCUGGGCCUGCUGCAAAGCUUUGUGUUUCAUCAGCUGUGAACAAUACCCAAGAAACGGCUACAGGAUCCUGCAGAGGCCGGAGGAGGAAACUAAUCUGCACAUAAAAAAGCUGCAGCCCAUAUGAAGAGGGGAAUUAGUAGCUAAAAGAUAGCCAUCAGAUUUCUGAAGAUAAAUGAAAGGUGGAUCUGAACCUUGAAAUUGUCAGCUCAGCAAAGGCAGAGUGGUGAAAGGAGGGUUUCCUGGAGAAUACCCAGAAGAUUGUGAUGGAUUAUGCAUUUCUGGAAGGGGACAAGAAACAGGCAAUACAAAGGUGCUAAACAUAAACAGUUGUAACAAAACACGGUUCAAGCAUUUUGUCUCCAACACCCUGCAAAACAUAGAAGAUGUUCCAUAUUGAGACCACUAUGUCAGUUGAACUGAAGUGCUUCCUGACUCUUCUGAUUCUUGUGUACAUCAUCUAGAGGAGCACUCUGUGCAUGACCUGCUUUGUUUUUAAGGUCAUUAUUUUUCAUUGAAAAAAUUCACUGUCAGCUAAAUCAGUAAAUAAAUCAAUUUUACUAAACACCCGUCUGAAAAAUAAAUGGAACACAUGACUAUUGUAAAACUCAUCUCCUCACAACUUUUUAAAAAUAAAAUUAAACUAAACAUAUCUUUUUGAUUGCAAAUUUUUUGCUAGCCUCCAGCUACUUUCCCACAGCGUGAAAGGAGCUCAAGCGUCUUGUUGGAGAGCACUUUUAGAGGAACACAUUCUACAGGAUUCACAAAAGCGUUUCCGUUUCAUGUUUCCAUCUGCCCUCCAGGAUUUCUUCCCAUAACGUGCAUGAAACGUUGAUGCAUACCAUACAUCAUAAGACUAUUUUUGUUCCAUCUUUUUUGUCACCAUCUUCCUUCCACCUUUCUGGAAGCCUGUCGCACUGGCAGUCUGCAGCUGUUUAAGGCAACAUCUUGCAUGUGUUUUUCUCCCAUUACCUAAUGUAGGAUUGAAAAUCAGGGAAGCAGAGUCUACUAAGUUGCUUUAAAAAAAAGAGGAGGGCUCAUAAGUGUCCUGGUGUCUGUGGAGAAUAAAAAUUACUUUUCAGGACAUGGGUCUUUUGUCGUAGAUCAUGCAUUAUUAGUAUUGGUGAAUGCUUAAUGUGGUAAACUGUGUCCAGCAAGAUGUGUAGAAAUAUGACAGUGUGUUGACAAAGUCUUAAGCCUGUACAUUUGGGAGAUGGAGCUGGGAUA